rnacentral:rRNA from 1 species
CCUACGGGAGGCAGCAGUAGGGAAUCUUCCACAAUGGGCGAAAGCCUGAUGGAGCAACGCCGCGUGGGUGAAGAAGGUCUUCGGAUCGUAAAACCCUGUUGUUAGAGAAGAAAGUGCGUGAGAGUAACUGUUCACGUUUCGACGGUAUCUAACCAGAAAGCCACGGCUAACUACGUGCCAGCAGCCGCGGUAAUACGUAGGUGGCAAGCGUUAUCCGGAUUUAUUGGGCGUAAAGGGAACGCAGGCGGUCUGUUAAGUCUGAUGUGAAAGCCUUCGGCUUAACCGGAGUAGUGCAUUGGAAACUGGGAGACUUGAGUGCAGAAGAGGAGAGUGGAACUCAAUGGGUAGCGGUGAAAGGCGUAGAUAUAUGGAAGAACACCAGUGGCGAAAGCGGAUCUCUGGUCUGUAACUGACGCUGAGGUUCGAAAGCGUGUGUAGCAAACAGGAUUAGAUACCCGAGUAGUC